rnacentral:lncRNA from 1 species
CAUUAGUUUGUUUCUGAUGAAUUUCUGAGGGUUCAAAGGUCCUGGACCAGUUUUCAUAGUAAUUUCUCAGGUUGAGAUUUCUAUGUCCCAUAGGUUGUACCAAUCUGAAUCCUACCUUUUUUCAUGGUUAAGGACUAUUCCCAUCCAUGGCCCCAGACCAACUACAAACUUCCUUCCUGCUUCUUCACAAGCAUCGUUAAUAGGGUUUUUUGUUUGUAUGUUUGUUUGUUUGUUUUUAGGGUUGCACGUACGGCAUGUGGAGGUGGGGUCCUAAAAAAAAAGCUUCAAAAAAAUAAAGAAUUCUUUUAAAGAAUACAUAUACUUUAUAAAUAUAUGCUUUUUUAAAGUAUAUAUAAAAAUAUAUAAAAGUACCUUCUAAAAGUAUAUAUACUUUUAAAAGAAUCUAUAUAUUUUACAUUUAUAGACAUAAAAUAUAGAUAUUCUUUGCUGUACACCUGAAGCUAACAUAACAUUGUAAAGUAACUAUACUUCAACAAAAAUAAUGGUUAUUGAAUAUUAAAAUUUAUGUUGUGUGUUAAAAAACGUGCAUAACUCCCAAACUUCUCCUCCUUUACGUGAGUUCCAGAAAUAAGGUAUACAUUCUGCUAAACAGGAGCUGUUUAUAAUUCAGAGGAGAAUGGACUAAUGCUUCCGAUACUUGUCUCUCAGCCCAGAGCUUCUUUGUUGCAUGAGUUCUUCAGUUCUAACCCAUCUCCAACCUUAGCUCCAGCCCCAGCUCCUAAGUCUGCAAGAAUCCCCGGAGGAUACAUCUGUCCAUGCUAAGAAAAUUCCCUGUAUGACAAUUCAAGGUAUGACUCCUCAAACUCUCAAACCAGAUAAAGUCAGAGGCCCACAGGAUUUUAAUACAUGUCUUCUACCUAGUGAAACCAUAUAGCUUGGGGAGUUCCCGCCAUGGUGCAGUGGUUAACGAAUCCGACUGGGAACCAUGAGGUUGCGGGUUCGAUCCCUGCCCUUGCUUAGUGGGUUAAGAAUCUGGUGUUGCCGUGAGCUGUGGUGUGGUUCGCAGACGCUGCUCGGAUCCCGCGUUGCUGUGGCUCUGGCGUAGGCCAAUGGCUACAGCUCCAAUUCGAUCCCUAGCCUGGGAGCCUCCAUAUGCCGCGGGAGUGACCCAAGAAAAGGCAAAAAAAAAAAAAAAACCAUAUAGCUUGGGAAACAGGUGGAAAUCACACCAAAGUAUAAAGAAGUGGAAAUCCCAUCCCAUAUAUCUUCACCACUCAGCAAGGUUUUUCUACAUAAGGCAUAUUUUAAGCAAAAAUGAAUUCAUGGAGUUCCCGUCGUGGCGCAGUGGUUAACGAAUCCAACUAGGAACCAUGAGGUUGCGGGUUCGGUCCCUGCCCUUGCUCAGUGGGUUAAGGAUCCGGCGUUGCCGUGAGCUGUGGUGCAGGUUGCAGACGCAGCUCGGAUCGUGCGUUGCUGUGGCUCUCGCGUAGGGGCAGCUACAGCUCCGAUUCGACCCCUAGCC